CUACUAAAAAUACAAAAAUUAGCCGGGCAUGGUGGCAGGCGCUUGUAGUUCCAGCUACUCAGGAGGCUGAGGCAAGGAGAAUCGCUUGAACCCGGGAGGCAGAGGUUGCAGUGAGCCGAGAUCGCGCCACUGCACUCCAGCCUGGGCGACAGAGCGAGACUCCGCCUCAAAAUAUAUAUAUGUAUAGUCCAUCUCCCCUGGUGGUUGUGAGGAUGAAUUGGGUUUGUAUUUGCAGGCUUCCUGAGCUGGCGACAUCGUCUGGUGCAAAGGCUGCGAAAUCUGCUUGCCCAGAAUGGCAGACAAGAUCUUGGAGACGAGACGGUUUUAGGUCUGCAGUCAACCAGCUCUAUUUUGUCUCACCAGCACUUCACAUCCGGCUUACUACCUCCGGGCACUAUUCUAAGUAUGUUACAAAUACGAACUCAUUUUAUCUUCACAAUAUUUUUGGUCCUGCCUGUGCAGAUCCCUUUUGGACAGUGAGGGAAACUGAGGCACAGAGCGGAGAAGCUGCUUGCUCAAGGUCAUCAUUUGAACCCAUGUCGGAGUUAUCGUUCCUCUGUGCUGUGCGCCCGUGGGAGAGGCAUUAACACUCAAAAUACGAAACUGCACAGAGUCAAGAAAACGCACUCGUGGACGGCCUGCGGACCACUAGUUUGAGACCCCAGCCUCAACAUGAGCAUCUGUGCAAAUAGACACGAACUGUCCUCCUCCCAGAAGUAGACCUGGGCAUCCUGACCCCAUGAACACAGGGACUUGCUGUCUCUCCCCAAACUGGAUUCAGGCAUCAUGGCUUUUGAACACAGGGCUGAUGAUCCUUCCCAGAAGAGAAUGCAGGCAUCUUGGCCCCAUAAAAAUAGGGGUCCUGGGCCGGGCUCAGUAGCUCACGGCCUGUAAUCCCAGAACUUUGGGAGGCCUAGGCCGGUGGAUCACCUGGGGUCAGGAGUUCAAGACCAGCCUGGCCAACAUGGCUAAACCCUGUCUCUAUUAAAAAUACAAAAAUUAGCCGGGCGUGGUGGUGCACACCUGUAGUCCCAGCUACUCAGGAGGCUGAGGGAGGAGAAUCGCUUGAACCUGGGAGGCAUAGGUUGCAGUGAGCCAAGAUCGCACCACUGCACUCAAGCAUGGGUGACAGGGCAAGCAAGACUCCAUCUCAAAAAAAAAAAAAAAGUAAAAAAAAAAAAAAUUAGCCAGGCAUGGUGGCACAUGCCUGUAGUCCCAGCUACUCGGGAGGCUGAGGCAGGAGAAUCGCUUGAACUGGGAGGAGGCUGAGGCAGGAGAAUCGCUUGAACUGGAAGGAGGCUGAGGCAGGAGAAUUGGGAGGCAUAGGUCGCAGUAAGCUGAGAUCAUGCCACUCUGCACUCCAGCCUGGGUGACAGAGUGAGACUGCGUCUCAAAAAAAAAAAAAAAAAAUAGGGGUCCAGGCCGGGUCCAGUGGUUCAUGCCUGUAAUCCCAGUACUUUGGGAGGCUGAGGUGGGAGGAUCAUUUGAGCCCAGGAGUUUAAGACCAGCCUGGGCAAAAUGGUGAAACCUCAUUUUUACUAAAAAUACAAAAAUUAGCUGGGCGUGGUGGCACAGGCCUGUAGUCCCAGCUAAUCAGGAGGCUGAGGCAGGAGGAUCACCAGAGCCUGGGAAGCGGAGGUUGCAGUGAGCCAAGAUCACACCGCUGCAUUCAAGCGUGGGUGAUAGAGUGAGACCCUGUUCUCAUAAAAGAGGCGGAGGGGUCCUUAGCUAGAGGUUUCCUUGCUUGGAUUCUCAGAGAGUCAACGGACUCCCACACUGGUAAUAGUAAUGACAAGUAACAUAUAUUAAACAUCCAUCAUGCCCCAGUACUUUUAUUGUUUAAUUUUUUUUUGUUUAUUUAUUUAUAAAACAGGGUCUUUUUAUUUUAUUUAUUUAUUUUUUUGAGACAGAGUCUCGCUCUGUCGCCCAGGCUGGAGUGCAGUGAUGGGAUCACAGCUGUCUGUGGUCUUGUCCUCCUGGGCUCCAGCCAUUCUCCUUCCUCAGCCUCCCAAGUAACUGGGUCCACAGGUGCACACCACCACGCCUGAUUAUUUUUUAAAUUUUUUGUAGAGACAGGGGUCUCACUAUGUUGCCUAGGUUGGUCUGGAACUCCUGGGCUCAAGCAAUCCUCCUGCCUCAGUUUCUCAGAAUGCUGGGAUUACAGGCAUGAGCCACUGUGUGCCUAGCCCAAUGUUUUAUUGUUAUUCACAUUCUGACUGCACAUCCUAUGAGGUAGGGACCUGUGCUGUCUCAACUCACAGAUGAGGAAACUGAGGCACAGAGCUGUGACCACUUCCCCAACAUCACCCACAGGUGGCAGAGGGGAUUCUAAGUCAGGCCAUCUGGACUCACAGCCCACAGUCUUUCAUGAGGGCUGCAUGCGGGCUUAGGAAACCAAGGCAGGCGAAUGGGUUCAGGCCAGGAGUUGGAAACAUGCCUGGGUAGGCAACACAGUGAGACCUCAUCUCUACAGAAAAUUUAAAAAUUAGCCAGGUGUGGUGGUGUGCACCUGUAGUCCCAGCUACUCGGGAAACUGAGGUGGGAGAAUUGCUUGAGCCUAGGAGGUGGAAGCUGCAGUGAGCUGUGAUCAUCAGCUGUGAUCAUGCCACUGCACUCCAGCCUGGGCAACAGAGCAAGACCCUGUCAAAAAAAAAAAAAAAAAAAGAGGCAGCCCUUGACCCACCCACAAACUUCUUUUUCUUUGCCCACAAGGGUUUUGUGUUGUUGUUGUUUUGGGGGUGGGGGUCGGUUUUUUAUUUUUGAGGCGGAGUCUUGCUCUGUUGCCCAGGCUGCAGUGCAGUAGCGCGAUCUCGGCUCACUACAACCUCCGCCUCCCGGGUUCAAUCGAUUCUUCUGCCUCAGCCUCCAGAGUAGCUGGGAUUACAGGCAUGUGCCACCACACCCAGCUAAUUUUUGUAUUUUUAGUAGAGACGAGGCUUUGCCAUGUUGGCCAGGCUGGUGUUUUGUUUUGCUUUUGAGAAAGGGUCUCGCUCUGUCGCCCAAGCUGGAGUGCAAUGGUGCGAUCACAGCCUACUGCAGCCUCGACCUCACAGGCUCAAGCGUUCCUCCCACCCCAGCCUCCCCAGUUAGGUUUCCGCAUGUUGCCCAGGCUGGUCUGGAACUCCUGGGCUCAGGUGAUCCACCCAUCUCGGCCUUCCGUGAUACUGGGAUUACAGACGUGAGCCACCACGCCCAGCUGUGGGGAGGAUUUUGACUAGUGAUAACGCUUAUGGCCAAAUAGACUCUUGGCCUCUCCCCAUCUUUUCUACCUCCAGCCACCAAGCCAGAUUCCCACUAUCCUUCACACUCAUUUUCUUCUCAAAAGAACAUUAUAGGCCGGUGUGGUGGCUCACACCUGUAAUCCCAGCAUUUUGGGAGGUCAAGGAGGAACGAUUGCUUGAGGUCUGGAAUUUGAGACCAGCCUGGGCAACAUAGUGAGACCCUGUCUCUACAAACAAACAAACAAAUAAAGAACAUUCCGGGGCUGGGCAUGGUGCCUCAUGACCAUAAUCCAGGCACUUUGGGAGGCCAAGGAGGGAGGAUCACUUGAGCCCAGGAGUUUGAGACCAACCUGGGCAACAUAAUGAGACCCCAUCUUUACUAAAAAAAGAAAAGAAAAGAAAAAAGAAGGAGAAGAAGGAGGAGGAGGAGGAGGAGGAAGAAGAAAAAAGAAGAAGGAGGAGGAGGAGGAGAAGAAGAGAACAUUCCAGGCUGGGCAUAGUGGCUCAUACCUGUAAUUCCAGCACUUUGGGAGGCUGAGGCAGGUGGAUCACCUGAGAUCAGUAGUUCGAAACCAGCCUGGUCAACAUGGUGAAACCCCGUCUCUACUAAAAAUACAAAAAAAAUUAGCCAGGCGUGGUGGUAGGUGCCUGUAAUCCCAGCUACUCAGGAGGCUGAGGCAGGAGAAUCACUUGAACGCAGGAGGUGGUGGUUGCAUUGAGCAGACAUUGGGCCACCACAUUCCAUCCUGGGUGACAGAGCGAGACUCCGUCUUAAAAAAAAAAAAAAAAAGAACAUUCCAGUACAUCUGGCCUCCGAGUAUCUACCCUGCAAUGGGCAGUCUGGACAUUGAUCAGUGAGUGAGAGGUGUGAGGUACAGGUGGGACCAUGAGCUAGCAGAGGGCUAGAGACUGCCCCUCUCUCAACUUCAUCAGUGUCAAGCAACAGGAAAUACUGACAAUAAUUAGUUAUACAAGUGAUAAUAGCUAACACUUAUUAGGCACUUACUAUAUGUCCAAUACUGCACUAAAUGACUUCCAGUGUGAUCUCAUUUAAUAAGUGUCUAAAGCAGCAUUUCUCAAACGUCUUUGAACUCGAUCUAUGGCCAGAAAAAUACCUUCCUUGUAACCUAAUAUGUAUUCACUAUACAUCAAUAAAAUUUCCACAAAAUAUUACUUUCCGUUGACUUCAUAAUUUUUUAAAAUUAUAUUUUGUUUUGUUUUUUUAAGAGGGAGUCUGGCUCAGCACCCAGGCUGGAGUGCAGUGGUGCAAUCUCGGCUCACUGCAACCACCGUCUCCCGGGUUCAAGUGAUUCUCCCAUCUCAGCCUCCUGAGUAGCU
rnacentral:lncRNA from 1 species